rnacentral:rRNA from 1 species
AUACGUAGGGAGCGAGCGUUGUCCGGAAUUACUGGGCGUAAAGGGCGCGUAGGCGGCGCUUCAAGUCGUCUGUCAAAUGGGAGGGCUUAACCCUUUUUCGCAGACGAAACUGUGGCGCUGGAGAAGCAGAGAGGCAAACAGAAUUCCUGGUGUAGCGGUGAAAUGCGUAGAUAUCAGGAAGAAUACCAGUGGCGAAGGCGGUUUGCUGGCUGCAUACUGACGCUGAAGCGCGAAAGCCAGGGGAGCAAACGGGAUUAGAUACCCCGGUAGUCCUGGCAGUAAACGAUGUAUGCUGGGUGUGGGAGUAGCGAUACCUCCGUGCCGAAGUUAACGCGAUAAGCAUACCGCCUGGGGAGUACGGUCGCAAGAUUGAAACUUAAAUGAAUUGGCGGGG